UAAAGCGAGUGCAGGCGGUUCAAUAAGUCUGAUGUGAAAGCGUUCGGCUCAACCGGAGAAUUGCAUCAGAAACUGUUGAACUUGAGUGCAGAAGAGGAGAGUGGAACUCCAUGUGUAGCGGUGGAAUGCGUAGAUAUAUGGAAGAACACCAGUGGCGAAGGCGGCUCUCUGGUCUGCAACUGACGCUGAGGCUCGAAAGCAUGGGUAGCGAACAGGAUUAGAUACCCUGGUAGUCCAUGCCGUAAACGAUGAGUGCUAAGUGUUGGGAGGUUUCCGCCUCUCAGUGCUGCAGCUAACGCAUUAAGCACUCCGCCUGGGGAGUACGACCGCAAGGUUGAAACUCAAAGGAAUUGACGGGGGCCCGCACAAGCGGUGGAGCAUGUGGUUUAAUUCGAAGCAACGCGAAGAACCUUACCAGGUCUUGACAUCCAGUGCAAACCUAAGAGAUUAGGAGUUCCCUUCGGGGACGCUGAGACAGGUGGUGCAUGGCUGUCGUCAGCUCGUGUCGUGAGAUGUUGGGUUAAGUCCCGCAACGAGCGCAACCCUUGUCAUUAGUUGCCAUCAUUAAGUUGGGCACUCUAAUGAGACUGCCGGUGACAAACCGGAGGAAGGUGGGGAUGACGUCAAGUCAUCAUGCCCCUUAUGACCUGGGCUACACACGUGCUACAAUGGACGGUACAACGAGAAGCGAACCUGCGAAGGCAAGCGGAUCUCUGAAAGCCGUUCUCAGUUCGGACUGUAGGCUGCAACUCGCCUACACGAAGCUGGAAUCGCUAGUAAUCGCGGAUCAGCACGCCGCGGUGAAUACGUUCCCGGGCCUUGUACACACCGCCCGUCACACCAUGAGAGUCUGUAACACCCAAAGCCGGUGGGAUAACCUUUAUAGGAGUCAGCCGUCUAAGGUAGACAGUGAUGU
rnacentral:rRNA from 1 species